GGGCCCGUAGCCUAGUUGGAUAGGGCGCAGUUUUUCUUAACCGCGUAUGCCUUCGGAGCCUGAAGUCGGGGGUUCGAAUCCCUUCGGGCCCGCCA
rnacentral:tRNA from 1 species